UCAAAUCGGGUGAGACUACCCGCUGAACUUAAGCA
rnacentral:rRNA from 2 species